GUGCCUACGGGAGGCAGCAGUCGAGAAUCAUUCACAAUGGGGGAAACCCUGAUGGUGCGACGCCGCGUGGGGGAAUGAAGGUCUUCGGAUUGUAAACCCCUGUCAUGUGGGAGCAAAUUAAAAAGAUAGUACCACAAGAGGAAGAGACGGCUAACUACGUGCCAGCAGCCGCGGUAAUACGUAGGGAGCAAGCGUUAUCCGGAUUUAUUGGGUGUAAAGGGUGCGUAGACGGGCUAACAAGUUAGUUGUGAAAUCCCUCGGCUCAACUGAGGAGCUGCAACUAAAACUAUUAGUCUUGAGUGCGG
rnacentral:rRNA from 1 species